AUUGAACGCUGGCGGAAUGCUUUACACAUGCAAGUCGAACGGCAGCACGGGGCAACCUGGUGGCGAGUGGCGAACGGGUGAGUAAUACAUCGGAACGUGCCCAAUCGUGGGGGAUAACGUAGCGAAAGUUACGCUAAUACCGCAUACGAUCUACGGAUGAAAGCGGGGGAUCGCAAGACCUCGCGCGAAUGGAGCGGCCGAUGUCAGAUUAGGUAGUUGGUGGGGUAAAGGCUUACCAAGCCCGCGAUCUGUAGCUGGUCUGAGAGGAUGAUCAGCCACACUGGGACUGAGACACGGCCCAGACUCCUACGGGAGGCAGCAGUGGGGAAUUUUGGACAAUGGGCGAAAGCCUGAUCCAGCCAUUCCGCGUGCAGGAUGAAGGCCCUCGGGUUGUAAACCUCUUUUGUACGGGAAGAAGGAAGUGACGGUACUGUACGAAUAAGUCCCGGCUAACUACGUG
rnacentral:rRNA from 1 species